rnacentral:lncRNA from 1 species
UCAUCUAAGAAAUUUAAAAUAGAUUUUAGAUUUUAUGAGAGAAGAGUGAUUUAUUGAAUUUACACUUUAAAUUCUUAUCUUGAGGAUGUCAUCGUACAACUAGUGUUAGUGAGAGUGCACGCUAUGAAUAUAUACAAUCUAGACGGGUGUUGCACUUUACAUAUGGCAUAGAGCAUAACAUCUCAAUCCAUAUUUUCCUAAGUUAAUUUUUACCCCACAUGAAUUUCAAGUAGUGCAUGUUUUAGCAUUGAAAAUUUAUCCAUAUAUAUAUAUGAUUCACGAACGUGUGUUAAUCAAUUAUGACUUUAUUCAUUUUAAAUGAUGAAAGAUAAACUCACAUUUAACAGCGCCACUUUUACAGCGCUUGCUAAACACAAGCGAUGUUGUAAAUAUAUUUUAAAAAUAACGGAGCCUUUUAC